CAGAUCUGCAUUGGGCCCUGGCCAGCGAUAAAUUUAAAUUGGAGGGGCUUUUGCAAAGGAAAAAGAAAGAGAGGAAUAAAAAUAGAGGAGGUAGAAGUGGAAUUGAGGAGGUAGGAGAAGUCUGUAGAGCAGAGAAGCAGGGUAUGAAAGGGUGAACCUUAUGAGAGAGAGGAGAGCAUUCCUUGGUUUGAGGUUAUAGAAAUCUGGCUUUGUGAUUUUGAUUCCUUUGCAGAAACAUCAGUACUUUGUUUCAGAAAAGGGGUCCAAGCCAAAGGGGAACUAGAAGACAUCUUGGCCUAUUAUAUCCAAACUUUAAUCAUGUUUUCAUUGCCAAAGUACAUGUACACAUGAAUUAAUUGUUAUUUUAUUCACUGAACAAUAUAAAGUGUUCAUUGAAUAAAAUAACAUGUGCACAGACAUUGUUCAGAGCACUUUAUAAGUAUUAACAUCUGUAAUAUCUGUUUUAUGAAUGAAAAAGUGGUAGUUGUCCCCUUUUUUAUAAAAGUAAUAAAUGCAAGAGUGGAAGCUAUAGCUGGAAAAAAUUAGUGCCAAUGAAUAGGCCACUCUUAACCUCACUUUAACUAAUGAGCAUAUACUUUUGUAUCCUGCUUAUAAAUAAACUUAUCAUCAUAGCAUUAGUAUUUUCCUGUAUUAAUACAUUUUGAAAUCAUGAUUAUUAACAAUCAUGUAGUAUUGUAUGUACAUGGGAACAUAAUCUUACCAUUAUUUUAAUGUUGGUCAUUGCUUUCUGAUUUACAUAAUGCAGUUUAGCAAAUGUUCUGCUUUUUUAAAAAGAUGGACACAACAUCUUUAUUUAUUUUAUGUAUUUAUUUUUUAUGUGGUGCUGAGGGUCGAACCCAAUACCUCACAAGUGCGAGGCAAGCACUCUACCGCUGAGCUGUAACCCCAGCCCCGAAUGUUCUGCUUUUUAAUAUCAAGACUUUUCAUUUCAGUUCCCUUUUUAAGCUUUAAAUUCCAAUGCAUUUGUAAGCUCUACAAAGUGCUAAAUGGCAAGUGAGAUAUAGGAUUCAUAUCAUUGAUGAGCUGGGGAUUCAACAAGAAAUACAAUUACUAGAAUAUAACUUGAUCAUUCCCAUAUCUAGGUACAAACCAUGGCAAUACUAUUUGCCUACUCAACAUGUACUCCUUUGCCUUCUCACAGCACUAAAAAUGUGUGAAUAAUACGAUUUUGAGAAAUAUGACACAUCAUGUUUUUCACACAUUUUCC
rnacentral:lncRNA from 1 species